UCAAAAAGGGCGAAAGAAAAGAGAAAAAAAAAUGUGAGAGAAUCACUUAAUUUCCACACAAUUUCUUUAACUAUCAAAAGACAAUUUUAUUAUACAAAAAAAAAAAUUGUUAUUGGCACUUCAAAUUUUUUAUAUUUAGAAAAAAAAAAUACACUUGUGUAGAGUGUAUAAUGAAAUUUUUAGAGUACCAAUAACAGUUUCCUAAAAAAAUCUAGGUUUGUUUUUUUAUUAAUUAAUUAGGUUUUAUUUACGAACUAACUAUGUUGAUCACAUUUGGAAAAAAAAAAAAAAAAAACUAAAAUGAUAUGUACAUCGAAACAGGAAACGAAUAAAUAGCAACAAAAAUUCAUUCGGAAACAGAGUGGCAACCUGGAAAUUUUGAGAAACUCUUGGGGCAAAGAGUUGACAUUCUCCCGCUACACUCCCAUAUAGUAUAAACACUCUCAUCACGCACACUGUUUCUCAACGCACCCAAACGACCACUCUCUCUCUCUCUCUCUCUAUGACAACCAUGAAUGAGCCACCUCUCUCCCGUCGCAGAAGGCCCACUUGCCACCAGCCCAAGAAGCUGAAGCUCGUCUGCUGCUUCAACGGCGCAUUCCGCUCCCGCCCGCCGUCCGGGAAGCUACGCUACGUCGGCGGCGAGGCCAGAAUUGUGUCCGUGGACCGUAACAUCGGGCUCUCGAAGCUCCGAUCAAAUAUUUUGGAUCUUUGCCCCAGCAUUAACUCCACAUUCACUCUCAAGUUCCAGCUCCCGUGUUCCGGCUCCGGCUCCGAUUCCGCCGCCCCUCUCGCCCUCAUCGCGUCAGAUGACGACGUUCGGUGCAUGAUCGAAGAGUACGACAAGCUCGAGCUGUACGGUAAGUCACCAAGGCUCUGGGUUUUUGUUUGUUGUAGAAAUGGCAGUGAUAAUGUCAAUGGUUAUGUGAAUUGCGUGAAAGGUGUGAACUUUAGUGAUGGGUUUGAGUCAGAGAGCGAACAUGUAGGGACCCACCGCCGCCAUUUGAGCGGCGGAGCUCAGGUGGAGAAGAAGGCGGCGGUGAAGAACUUUGGAGGCGUACGGUCCGGCGAUGAAUCGCUGAGAAAAAUGGUGUUGAAACAGCAAUUGCUUGCAAAGCAAUCGGCUUUUCGCCGUCGUUUUGGUACUAGUGAGAACGAUGUGGAAAUAGGGUUUUUGGGUGAAUCCCAAAAGUGUGAAUCUUUUGAUCAGGGCAGAGACUUGUUGGAUGACAGAUUAGGGAGUAAUUGUUUUGAUAAUGUAGGGAGUUUUUUGGUGUCUCGGGCUAAUCCGCUGAAUCCCAGAGAUGGGAAUUUGAGGGUGGUAGGUAAGAGUUUUGGGCAGUGCUGUCCGGCAUGGUCGGGUCGGAUUUUGUGUAAUGGGGUUGGGAGGUCGAGUCAGGAGGUGGCAACUGCGCUGCCUGCGAAACCAUUACCGGGUUGUAAUGGUUGUUGUGGUGAUGUUAAGCAGGAUUUUGGAAACAAUGCAAUGGCUGGGAUUAGUUAUGUGAACAGAGAAAACGUUAUGCCUUUGGAGGCCAAUUGUGAUUUGGUGAAGAACGGAUUGAGCUGUAAUUCUGGUGCUGAUUCUUUGGCUGGAACUACUGCGUAUCCUGUGAAGUCUUCUUAUAGUGGUGAUAUGGUGUGGGGAGGCUUAAUGAGCGGGAUUCGUAACCAUAGAUUUGGUGUCAAUGAUGCUAGAAAUCAGCGGUGUUAUCAGUACCAUGUUCGGAAUCAUCAUUGGAGCAACAUGACUGAGAUGGGGAUCAGACGAACGAAGCAGGGGAUUUCAGCUUGGAAAUGCUACCCCGGACUUAGGCCGAAUUUGAACAUUGCAAAGCAAGGGCAGUCUCUGAGAGUAUAUCAUCCGAGUAUAUGGAGGCAAUGUUCUGGUUUUCCUGAGCAUGCAGUGGAAGAAAGGGUGAGGAUGACGGAUUCUUGUUCAAUGAAAGACAACUACUUGAUCGAUGUGCUAUAUGGUAAUGAGAAACGUAGUAAACGGAGUGGCCCUGCAGUUUCACAGCAAAGGAAUUAUAAUCCGAGCAAAUCCUAUUCAGGUUUUUGUGGUGCAUUUACUGGCGUGGGAAAUCAAUCUCUCAUGAGUUCUAAUGCCAUUGAGAGUUCAUCUUCAUCUGUGAAGACAAUGGACAUUCUGGAAGAUCUCUUAACUGGUUCUGAUUUUGGGAAGUGUGAUGGUCCAUAUCAAACUUCACAUGAAAAUUUUCAUGGAAUGUCCGGAAACUGUGAGUUUCAGAAGGAGAUGCGCCUGUUGGACUCUUAUGAGGUUGCUAACACCUCUGACUUUCUAAAUGAUGUGGGAUGUAGUAUUGAAAUUAGAUUGGAUGGUGAUAACAAAUUGGCUAAUGGGGAAGCAGUCAUCGACGCUUUACACAAUUUCAAAAACAGCAUUAAUGACAUACAGGUCUCAUGUAGCAGAGUCCCAGCUUCAUUGAGUGUUUCUUUGCAUAACCUUUCACUGUCAUCAUCCAAAGAAGUGGAAGCUCUGCAACUCUCUUCUCAUGCCAUCAGUGUUGUGUGUUCUGAUGUCUUGCUAAAACAUCAAUCAAAGCCUAUAGAUCUCAUGGAUGAAGGGACAAUUAACCCCAGUUCAUUGUGUUGAUAAAUCGAACAGAGUUGCACAUAACCCUACCUCCCAGAAUUCAGCUAAGACAGAGAAAGGUAAUGUGCAUGAUGAGGAGCUUCGACAGGAUCCUUCAUCUAUUAUAACCUUUGAUGAAAAGGCCAACAAUAAAGUGAUUGGUGGAACCUCCAGUGACCUUGCUGCGUUUUAUUCUCAUCUAGCCACUCGAGAGCUUCAG